GCUCAAGUUGGGAGGCGUUACCUGCGGAGGGUUUGAGGCACGCCCAGGAGCGAGCCCACGGUCGGCCGACGCGGGGCCAGGGGCGGGCCCCAGGAUCCGGAGCUUCGGGCGGGGCCGAGUCUGGGUUUGGGGCCCGGGAGGCGGGGCCAGUUAGGGCGAGGGUCCCUGGGAUCGUCGGGUCAGGCCUUGGGCUAACGUAGACACUCUCGCAGUACCUCCGCCUUCAGGAAGGUCUUUUUAGCAGGGGCCUUACAGGUGCACGCUUCGGUCCUGGAGGCCUUAUCCUAACCUCUCCAUCAGCGCCACCCGUCUGGGGCCCGAAAGGAGGGAGCUUUCCCUCUGUCCUCCAGCCUUUGGACUGUCUCCAAACAAGCCAUUCGUUCACCAAAUACUUAUUAAGCACCUACCAUGUGCCUGACAAGGGAGAUGUAACGCCCAGUAAAGGCUCCAUUCCCCAUUUUACAGCUGGGGAAACUGAGUUACAGAGCUUUUCUGCACUGAGUCAUCAGGAGCAAAUGCUAGAUCAGAUAGGGUCUCUCUCUCUGCCACCCAGGCCAGAGUGCAGUUGACGCAGGGCAGGGGAGCCCCGAAGUGGAGCAUAGUGUGUCCGGAACUGGUGGGUUCUUGGUCUCACUGACUUCAAGAAUGAAGCCGUGGACCCUCACGGUUCAAGCGAUUCUCCUGCCUCAGCCUCC
rnacentral:lncRNA from 1 species